GACGAACGCUGGCGGCGUGCUUAACACAUGCAAGUCGAGCGGUAAGGCCCUUUCGGGGGUACGACGAGCGGCGAACGGGUGAGUAACACGUAGGUAAUUUGCCUUUGGGUGGGGAAUAACUCAGGGAAACUUGAGCUAAUACCGCAUAAUGCAGCGGCUCGACAUCGAGACAGUUGUUAAAGCGGGGGAUCGCAAGACCUCGCGCCUGAAGAGAAGCCUGCGGCAGAUUAGCUAGNGGUUAGGGUAAUGGCCUACCAAGGCGACGAUCUGUAACCGGCCUGAGAGGGCGGUCGGUCACACUGACACUGACAUACGGGUCAGACUCCUACGGGAGGCAGCAGUCGGGAAUUUGGGCGAAUGGGCGCAAGCCUGACCCAGCAACGCCGCCGUGAAGGA
rnacentral:rRNA from 1 species